UACGUAGGGUGCAAGCGUUGUCCGGAAUUAUUGGGCGUAAAGAGCUCGUAGGCGGUCUGUCGCGUCGGCUGUGAAAACCUGGGGCUUAACUCCGGGCCUGCAGCCGAUACGGGCAGACUAGAGUUCGGCAGGGGAGACUGGAAUUCCUGGUGUAGCGGUGAAAUGCGCAGAUAUCAGGAGGAACACCGAUGGCGAAGGCAGGUCUCUGGGCAUUAACUGACGCUGAGGAGCGAAAGCGUGGGGAGUGAACAGG
rnacentral:rRNA from 1 species